rnacentral:rRNA from 1 species
AUUGAACGCUGGCGGCAUGCCUUACACAUGCAAGUCGAACGGUAACGCGGGGCAACCUGGCGACGAGUGGCGAACGGGUGAGUAAUGUAUCGGGACGUGCCCAGUUGUGGGGGAUAACUGCUCGAAAGAGCAGCUAAUACCGCAUACGACCUGAGGGUGAAAGCGGGGGAUCGCACGACCUCGCGCAAUUGGAGCGGCCGAUAUCAGAUUAGGUAGUUGGUGGGGUAAAGGCCCACCAAGCCAACGAUCUGUAGCUGGUCUGAGAGGACGACCAGCCACACUGGGACUGAGACCCGGCCCAGACUCCUACGGGAGGCAGCAGUGGGGAAUUUUGGACAAUGGACGCAAGUCUGAUCCAGCCAUGCCGCGUGCGGGAAGAAGGCCUUCGGGUUGUAAACCGCUUUUGUCAGGGAAGAAACGCUCUGGGUUAAUACCUCGGGGUAAUGACGGUACCUGAAGAAUAAGCACCGGCUAACUACGUGCCAGCCGCCGCCGUAACAC